ACGGGUGAGUAAUGCCUAGGAAUCUGCCUGGUAGUGGGGGACAACGUUUCGAAAGGAACGCUAAUACCGCAUACGUCCUACGGGAGAAAGCAGGGGACCUUCGGGCCUUGCGCUAUCAGAUGAGCCUAGGUCGGAUUAGCUAGUUGGUGAGGUAAUGGCUCACCAAGGCGACGAUCCGUAACUGGUCUGAGAGGAUGAUCAGUCACACUGGAACUGAGACACGGUCCAGACUCCUACGGGAGGCAGCAGUGGGGAAUAUUGGACAAUGGGCGAAAGCCUGAUCCAGCCAUGCCGCGUGUGUGAAGAAGGUCUUCGGAUUGUAAAGCACUUUAAGUUGGGAGGAAGGGCAGUAAAUUAAUACUUUGCUGUUUUGACGUUACCGACAGAAUAAGCACCGGCUAACUCUGUGCCAGCAGCCGCGGUAAUACAGAGGGUGCAAGCGUUAAUCGGAAUUACUGGGCGUAAAGCGCGCGUAGGUGGUUUGUUAAGUUGGAUGUGAAAUCCCCGGGCUCAACCUGGGAACUGCAUCCAAAACUGGCAAGCUAGAGUAUGGUAGAGGGUGGUGGAAUUUCCUGUGUAGCGGUG
rnacentral:rRNA from 2 species